rnacentral:rRNA from 1 species
AACGAACGCUGGCGGCGCGCCUAAUACAUGCAAGUCGAGCGAGAAGACGUAGCAAUACGUUUGUAAAGCGGCGAACGGGUGAGGAAUACAUGGGUAACCUACCCUCGAGUGGGGAAUAACUAGCCGAAAGGUUAGCUAAUACCGCGUACGCUCCUUGGACUUCGGUUCAGGGACGGAAAGCGAUACCGUGGGUAUCGCGCUCUUGGAUGGGCUCAUGUCCUAUCAGCUUGUUGGGAGGUAACGGCUCACCAAGGCUUCGACGGGUAGCUGGUCUGAGAGGACGACCAGCCACACUGGCACUGCGACACGGGCCAGACUCCUACGGGAGGCAGCAGUAAGGAAUAUUGCGCAAUGGGCGAAAGCCUGACGCAGCGACGCCGCGUGGGGGA